rnacentral:rRNA from 1 species
UAAUGUCUGGGAAACUGCCUGAUGGAGGGGGAUAACUACUGGAAACGGUAGCUAAUACCGCAUAACGUCGCAAGACCAAAGAGGGGGACCUUCGGGCCUCUUGCCAUCGGAUGUGCCCAGAUGGGAUUAGCUAGUAGGUGGGGUAACGGCUCACCUAGGCGACGAUCCCUAGCUGGUCUGAGAGGAUGACCAGCCACACUGGAACUGAGACACGGUCCAGACUCCUACGGGAGGCAGCAGUGGGGAAUAUUGCACAAUGGGCGCAAGCCUGAUGCAGCCAUGCCGCGUGUAUGAAGAAGGCCUUCGGGUUGUAAAGUACUUUCAGCGGGGAGGAAGGUGUUGAGGUUAAUAACCUUGUCAAUUGACGUUACCCGCAGAAGAAGCACCGGCUAACUCCGUGCCAGCAGCCGCGGUAAUACGGAGGGUGCAAGCGUUAAUCGGAAUUACUGGGCGUAAAGCGCACGCAGGCGGUCUGUCAAGUCGGAUGUGAAAUCCCCGGGCUCAACCUGGGAACUGCAUUCGAAACUGGCAGGCUAGAGUCUUGUAGAGGGGGGGUAGAAUUCCAGGUGUAGCGGUGAAAUGCGGUAGAGAUCUGGAGGAAUACCGGUGGGGGAAGGCGGCCCCCUGGGACAAAGACUGACGCUCAGGUGCGAAAGCGUGGGGGAGCAAACAGGAGUAGAUACCCUGGGUAGUCCACGCCGUAAACGAUGUCGACUUGGAGGUGUGCCCUUGAGGCGUGGCGUCCGAGCUAACGCGUUAGGUCGACCGCCUGGGGAGACUGCCGCAAGGGUGAAACUCAAUGAAUGACGGGGCCCGCACAGCGUGGAGCAUGUGGUUAUCGAUGCACGCGAGACGUACUACUCUGACAUCGAAGACUUACCAAAAUGCAUGUGCCUCGCAACUCUGAACAGUGCUGCAUGCUGUCGUCAGCUCGGUUGUGAAUGUGGAUAGUCGCACGACGCAGCCUGAUCAUGUCUCGUCAGCUGGUAUGCAGA